AUUGACUUAGAAAUUUCCUUUAAACAUUAAAAACAAACAAAUAGGGAAUGCCGAACUUGAAUUUAGAAAACUGAUGUCUUUGAAUCACUUGUACUCAGCUUCAUGAGUACCUAACUAAGCCGAAAUAAUUCAGCAACUCAUGGUGAGAAGACCAGAACCGAAAUUAAUUGAAAACAACAUAAAUUUCGAACCAAUCUCGUAUGAAGAACCGCUCUCAAUUGCUAAGCCCUUCUCUUCUCGUCUAGCUGAAUCUUCAAAACGGAUUCCCAGCGGAUUGACUGACGCGUGAUAGCUCUCAAAAUCUUUAAAUGGAUAACCGAACCAUACCCUGCAAAACAAUGAAAAAUCUGCUGCUCGUUUCUUUUUUUUCUUUUUCUGCUGUUCGACUCCCCUCAUUUUA
rnacentral:lncRNA from 1 species